rnacentral:rRNA from 1 species
UCUUCGGAUUGAAGCCUUGGUGACUGAGCGGCGGACGGGUGAGUAACGCGUGGGUAACCUGCCUCAUACAGGGGGAUAACAGUUGGAAACGGCUGCUAAUACCGCAUAAGCGCACAGUACCGCAUGGUACGGUGUGAAAAACUCCGGUGGUAUGAGAUGGACCCGCGUCUGAUUAGGUAGUUGGUGGGGUAACGGCCUACCAAGCCGACGAUCAGUAGCCGACCUGAGAGGGUGACCGGCCACAUUGGGACUGAGACACGGCCCAAACUCCUACGGGAGGCAGCAGUGGGGAAUAUUGCACAAUGGGGGAAACCCUGAUGCAGCGACGCCGCGUGAGCGAUGAAGUAUUUCGGUAUGUAAAGCUCUAUCAGCAGGGAAGAAAAUGACGGUACCUGACUAAGAAGCCCCGGCUAACUACGUGCCAGCAGCCGCGGUAAUACGUAGGGGGCAAGCGUUAUCCGGAUUUACUGGGUGUAAAGGGAGCGUAGACGGCAUGGCAAGCCAGAUGUGAAAGCCCGGGGCUCAACCCUGGGACUGCAUUUGGAACUGUCAGGCUAGAGUGUCGGAGAGGAAAGCGGAAUUCCUAGUGUAGCGGUGAAAUGCGUAGAUAUUAGGAGGAACACCAGUGGCGAAGGCGGCUUUCUGGACGAUGACUGACGUUG